rnacentral:lncRNA from 1 species
UUUUUUCUUUUUGUUUUUUUUUUUUUUUGUUUUUGUUUUUUUUUUUGGCUAUCCCCACAGCAUACGGAAGUCCCUGGGGUCAUGGAUCAAACCCAUGCCAUAGCCGUGACAACGUGAAAUCCUUAACCGCUAGGCCACCAGGGAACUCCUGUACUAAGGGUUUUGCUAGGUACUGUCACAAAUACACCGCUGUAAAUUUAUUGACAUUGAGAUGUUUUUGCUUUUCGCUCCUUACUAACUGGGCCUCAAUUAAUUUUUAAAAAUAGUUCCCAAAUAUUCUGAGCCAUGGGAAAAGCAUUAGAAUAAAUAUAGAUCUUCCCAAUGGACUGUUAUAAUUCCAUCAUUUGUGUCUCUUACCUUGCUCUCAAGGAGAGCAGAAGAAUGGUGGAAUACAAGGCAGGGUCCUCUGUGAGCUCAUGUAGCCCUCAGACCAACCACUCUGUGAACCUGAACUGAAAACCAGAAAGAGAUACUGUGGCCAAAAAAAAGAAAAGAAAGAAACAAACCAACCAACCAGGCUGUGGUAAGAGUACACAAGAGGAAAGUGGGCUGCUUUACAUCAGAUCUGAGUAAUUCUCUGCACCAGCAUUCAGAUCACUUAUAUCAACACGGCAGUCUGGUUUUCUCCUCGUCACUGAGUCCCUCCCCCAGCCUGGAGGUAUCUGGUUACUGCGGCACAGGAGUUUCACCAAAAAUAAAGAGAACUGAAUUAGGUCUGUCAAAGCGAAUGACCAGCAUACACUUGAGGAGGCUGGGUCUUAGCGUCUGUAAUCACUACUUUUUUCUUGCUCAGGUAACUUGAAAAAUUACUAAUGGACACUGAUAAGCCCAGUCAUUAGUAUACUUUAAUCGGGCUUUCUUCAAUUACAAAGGGAAAAAUUCUUUCCCUGUAGAAGAUUUACGCACUCCAAUUCCGCAAUCGCCCAUCACAGACACUCUUCGGAAUCCUCAGGGAAACAAGACUACCCAGUGUCUCUGUUCGAGUUGAGCCUCGGAAAAUGGCCCCGGUGCCCCACAAGCCCUGUCUGGAGUGUUACAGCCGUAGAGCCUUCCCUUCCCGCAGAUGCAGAAUGGGCUUUGGGAUAAACACCCUGGGCUGCAGGCCCUCUGGGAGAUCCCUGGUCAUGAGGGCCAAGGUCACCUGAGCACCGUGAGGGACAGGGCAGGAGUGGCCGAGGGGCAGAGAGGUGGGGCGGUGACAGUUAAGUAACUGGAACUGGUAUUAGUUACAAAGGCUGCUUACAGAGCCUUCCUUUGCUUCUCUCCUUCCUUUCUGCUUCCUGUUUUUGUUUUUGUUUUUUCCCCUUUUCACCUUGUUCUAGGAAGAAUAACCUACAUGGGGACCAAAAAACAUUACGAGGUUAAGUUAAAUGAAAGUGAGAAAUUUGGAGUUCCUGUUGUGGCUCAGCAGAAACGAAUCUGACUAGCAUCCAUGAGGAUGCAGGUUCAAUCCCUGGCCUUGCUCAGUGGGUUAAGGAUCUGGCGUUGCUGUGAGCUCUCAUGGCAACGCUGGAUUGCUAACCCAGUUAGCGAGGCUAGGGAUCAAACCUGAUACUAGUCGAUUUUGUUACCACUAAACCACAACAAGAACGCCAACAUAUGUCUUUUCUGUGUUUCAAAUGAUCAAAGCGCCAAGUUGGCUAGCUACAUGCAGCCUCUGACCCUCAAAAAAACGAGUCCUCUCUGAAUUUUAGGCACAGCGCUGGUGGAACUGUUCUGGGAAGAAAGAGACUUCUCUAUGGGGGCCUCAUGCCCUCCUUCUGGGGACCCUUCCCCAGACAAUUCGCUGUCUCCCUCUCCCUCUCGAGUCCUCAAUCCAAAGCCCACCACGCCUUCCCAACUCCCAUGUGAUUUCCCUUCUGCCUCAAUAAAAAUUCCUCUUUCCACCUGCUCCUCAAGUACUCCCAUUUCCAAGCCUCUAACUCAUUUCCCGUCACUCAGUGACCAAAGUCACUCCAGAAAAACUUAGAAGAAUCAAUACCCCUAAACCCACACAUGCAUCUCCCACCACAUAAUCUCCCUCCAGCCGUCUGGUGUACAUGUUAGGCACCCAUGCGGGCACACCCUUCCCCACAUGCUUCCCCCUGCUGAGAGCAUGACCUCGAGGGCUCCCCCCUAUGCAGCCGGCGAGGGGGCUGGGGGGUCUACUCCCUGGGAAGGAACGUGCUCUCCGUCCUGGCGAUCCCGGGGCGUGGGCUGUUUCCCCAGGGUCAUCCUCACAGCCACACAUCUUCUGGGUACAGGUAGGCCUGGCCCUACAGUUCUCUCGGCAGGAAAGACCAAGUGUGUCCCAUUUUGUCUCUGGUCCUAAAAUACCUUCCUGGGGAAGAAGACCAGACUCCAGCAGCACUUUGAAGUGAAUGCCCGAGGACCACUCGGCGAGGAAGAAGAAGGCUGCUCCAUCUUCCAGGCCUUCCUUCGAGGCCACCAGACCCGUGGCAACCUCGGAAUAGUGCUUAGGGGAAGUGAGCCUCCUCCCGAGGCUCAUCGGAGGGCAGGCCACACGGACCUCUCAGAGGGUCACGGGGCACGUGCCCAGGAAACUAUGGACUUUCUGCAAUUUUCCAGAACAACUGUGGAAAGCAAACAGUCAUGUGCCUGCUCUGGAACUGACGUCCAGGAAAAGGAAGGAACUAACAUGGACGAGUAUCUCCCACACGUGGGCGCUGACACACUCCCAGGUGUUCUUCUUCUUCUUAUUAUUAUUUUUUUGUCUUUUUAGGGCCUCACCCGAGGCAUAUGGAGGUUCCCAGGCUAGGGUCCAAUCUGAGCUACAGCUGCUGGCCUACAGCACAGCCACAGCCACACCAGAUCCGAGCCACGUCUGCAACCUACAGUUCAUGGCAAGGCCGGAUCCUUAACCCACUGAGCAGGACCAGGGAUUGAACCUGCAACUUCAUCGUUCCAAGUUGGAUUCCUUUCCACUGCGCCACGACGGGAACUCCCUCUCCCCCCGCCCCAUUCCUAUCCCUGAGUUUCAAGGUGGUUACAAAUUGCCUGCAGAUGCCCCACCAGGGUGUGGCAGAGGCAGGUGGCACUCCAGAGUCUCUGCUCCUCCCACUGCUCUUCCUUAAAUAUCACAGAAACCCCAAGCAUCC